rnacentral:tRNA from 1 species
GCCGAGGUGGCGGAAUUGGUAGACGCGCUAGAUUCAGGGUCUAGUGAGGGCAACUUCGUGAAGGUUCGAGUCCUUUCCUCGGCA